rnacentral:RNase_P_RNA from 1 species
CCAGUCGGCCGGGCGGCCGCAGUCACAAUGACCGAAAGGUCGUGAUUGAGGAAAGUCCGGGCUCCAUGGAAGAGCGGUGCCGGGUAAUGCCCGGCGGGGGCGACCCCAGGGAAAGUGCCACAGAGAGCAGACCGCCCGGGUUUCGGCUCGGGUAAGGGUGAAAGGGUGGGGUAAGAGCCCACCGCGCCGCCGGCAACGGGGGCGGCAUGGUAAACCCCACCGGGAGCAAGACCGAAUAGGGAUGGCGCGGCAGCGAUCAGCCGCCGAUGGCGUUUUCCAGCCAGCCAUCCGGGUAGGUUGCGUGAGGCGCAUGGCGACAUGCGCCCAAGAAGAAUGGCCGCCACGUUUCCGCCUCCUCGCAAGAGCGGCGGAGGCCAUACAGAACCCGGCUUACAGGCCGGCUGGCAGA